rnacentral:rRNA from 1 species
UACGUAGGCAGCAAGCGUUGUUCGGAGUUACUGGGCGUAAAGAGUAUGUAGGCGGUUGGGUAAGUUUGGUGUGAAAUCUCCCGGCUUAACUGGGAGGGUGCGCUAAAGACUGCCUGGCUCGAGUGUGGGAGAGGAAAGCGGAAUUCCUGGUGUAGCGGUGAAAUGCGUAGAUAUCAGGAGGAACACCUGCGGUGUAGACGGCUUUCUGGACCAUAACUGACGCUGAGAUACGAAAGCGUGGUUAGCAAACAGG